rnacentral:rRNA from 1 species
AUUGAACGCUGGCGGCAUGCCUUACACAUGCAAAUCGAACGGUAACGGGCCUUCGGGUGCCGCCGAGUGGCGAACGGGUGAGUAAUACAUCGGAACGUGCCCGAUCGUGGGGGAUAACGAGGCGAAAGCUUUGCUAAUACCGCAUACGAUCUACGGAUGACAGCAGGGGACCGCAAGACCUUGCGCGGACGGAGCGGCCGAUGGCAGAUUAGGUAGUUGGUGGGAUAAAAGCUUACCAAGCCGACGAUCUGUAGCUGGUCUGAGAGGAUGAUCAGCCACACUGGAACUGAGACACGGCCCAGACUCCUACGGGAGGCAGCAGUGGGGAAUUUUGGACAAUGGGCGCAAGCCUGAUCCAGCCAUGCCGCGUGCAGGAUGAAGGCCUUCGGGUUGUAAACUGCUUUUGUACGGAACGAAAAGACUUCUUUUAAUACAGGAGGGUCAUGACGGUACCGGAAGAAGAAGCACCGGCUAACUACGUG